rnacentral:rRNA from 1 species
CUAACGAGUGGCGGACGGGUGAGUAACGCGUAGGAAUCUGCCCAGUAUGGGGGGACAACCCGGAGAAAUCCGGGCUAAUACCGCAUACGCCCUACGGGGGGAAAGGAGGGGGAUCUCUUCGGAGACCUUUCGCUAUUGGAUGAGCCUGCGUCGGAUUAGCUAGUUGGUAGGGUAACGGCCUACCAAGGCGACGAUCCGUAGCUGGUCUGAGAGGACGAUCAGCCACACUGGGACUGAGACACGGCCCAG